UACGUAGGGGGCUAGCGUUGUCCGGAAUCAUUGGGCGUAAAGCGCGUGUAGGCGGUCCGGUAAGUCCGCUGUGAAAGUCGAGGGCUCAACCCUCGAAUGCCGGUGGAUACUGUCGGGCUUGAGUACGGGAGAGGCGAGUGGAAUUCCUGGUGUAGCGGUGAAAUGCGCAGAUAUCAGGAGGAAUACCGGUGGCGAAGGCGGCAUCCUGGACCGGCAUUGACGCUGAGGAGCGAAAGCUAGGGGAGCAAACGGG
rnacentral:rRNA from 1 species